UGUCGUCAGCUCGUGCCGUGAGGUGUCGGCUUAAGUGCCAUAACGAGCGCAACCCCUCUCUUCAGUUGCCAUCAGGUUAAGCUGGGCACUCUGGAGACACUGCCACCGUAAGGUGUGAGGAAGGUGGGGAUGACGUCAAAUCAGCACGGCCCUUACGUCCGGGGCUACACACGUGUUACAAUGGCCGGUACAGAGGGACGGUGUAAUGCAAAUUGCAUCUAAUCUUGAAAGCCGGUCCCAGUUCGGACUGGGGUCUGCAACCCGACCCCACGAAGCUGGAUUCGCUAGUAAUCGCGCAUCAGCCAUGGCGCGGUGAAUACGUUCCCGGGCCUUGUACACACCGCCCGUCAAGCCAUGAAAGCCGGGGGUGCCUGAAGUCCGUGACCGCAAGGAUCGGCCUAGGGCAAAACUGGUGAUUGGGGCUAAGUCGUAACAAGGUAGCCGUACCGGAAGGUGCGGCUGGAACACCUCCUUUCUGGAG
rnacentral:rRNA from 1 species